rnacentral:rRNA from 1 species
UUAAAAGUCCUUCUGGGAAUGCUUUGAGAUGGUCCUGCGGCGCAUUAGCUAGUUGGUGAGGUAGUAGCUUACCAAGGCGACGAUGCGUAGCUGAGCUGAGAGGCCAAACAGCCACACUGGGACUGAGACACGGCCCAGACUCCUACGGGAGGCAGCAGUAGGGAAUUUUCGGCAAUGGGGGAAACCCUGACCGAGCAAUGCCGCGUGAAUGAUGAAAUUCUUCGGAAUGUAAAAUUCUGUUGUGAGGGAAGAAAGGUAGUAUCAGGAAAUGGGUAUUACUUGACGGUACCUUACUAGAAAGCCCCGGCUAACUAUGUGCCAGCAGCCGCGGUAAUACAUAGGGGGCGAGCGUUAUCCGGAAUUAUUGGGCGUAAAGCGUGCGUAGGCGGUCGUUUAAGUCUGUCGUGAAAGCCCACAGCUUAACUGUGGAGGGUCGAUGGAAACUGGAUGGCUUGAAUCUAGAAGAGGUAAGUGGAAUUCCAUGUGUAGCGGUAAAAUGCUUAGAUAUAUGGAGGAACACCAGUGGCGAAGGCGGCUUACUGGUCUAGCAUUGACGCUGAGGCACGAAAGCGUAGGUAGCAAACAGGAUUAGAUACCCUGGUAGUCUACGCUGUAAACGAUGAGCACUAAGUGUCGGACGUAAGUUCGGUGCU